ensembl:snRNA U6 U6 spliceosomal RNA
GUGUUACUUCGGUAGCACAUAUACUAAAAUUGGAACGAUACAGAGAAGAUUAGCAUGGCCCCUGCGCAAUGCUUGGCAACGGUUCGGAUAGUUUUUU